UGCGUAGGCGGUCGGGUAAGUCUGAUGUGAAAUCUCGGAGCUCAACUCCGAAACUGCAUUGGAUACUAUUCGGCUUGAGGUCUGGAGGGGGGACUGGAAUUCUCGGUGUAGCAGUGAAAUGCGUAGAUAUCGAGAGGAACACCAGUGGCGAAGGCGAGUCCCUGGACAGGUCCUGACGCUGAGGCACGAAAGCUAGGGGAGCAAACA
rnacentral:rRNA from 1 species